rnacentral:rRNA from 1 species
UGGGGAAUUUUGGACAAUGGGCGAAAGCCUGAUCCAGCAAUGCCGCGUGUGUGAAGAAGGCCUUCGGGUUGUAAAGCACUUUUGUCCGGAAAGAAAUCCUUGGCUCUAAUACAGUCGGGGGAUGACGGUACCGGAAGAAUAAGCACCGGCUAACUACGUGCCAGCAGCCGCGGUAAUACGUAGGGUGCAAGCGUUAAUCGGAAUUACUGGGCGUAAAGCGUGCGCAGGCGGUUUGCUAAGACCGAUGUGAAAUCCCCGGGCUCAACCUGGGAACUGCAUUGGUGACUGGCAGGCUAGAGUAUGGCAGAGGGGGGUAGAAUUCCACGUGUAGCAGUGAAAUGCGUAGAGAUGUGGAGGAAUACCGAUGGCGAAGGCAGCCCCCUGGGCCAAUACUGACGCUCAUGCACGAAAGCGUGGGGAGCAAACAGGAUUAGAUACCCUGGUAGUCCACGCCCUAAAACGAUGUCAACUAGUUGUUGGGGAUUCAUUUCCUUAGUAACGUAGCUAACGCGUGAAGUUGACCGCCUGGGGAGUACGGUCGCAAGAUUAAAGCUCAAAUGAAUUG